rnacentral:rRNA from 1 species
UUGACGGGGCCCGCACAAGCGCGGAGCAUGCGGAUUAAUUCGAUGCAACGCGAAGAACCUUACCAAGGCUUGACAUACACCGGUAACGCCCAGAGAUGGGUGCCCCUUUGUGGUCGGUGGACAGGUGGUGCAUGGUUGUCGUCAGCUCGUGUCGUGAGAUGUUGGGUUAAGUCCCGCAACGAGCGCAACCCUCGUCCUAUGUUGCCAGCGGGUCAUGCCGGGGACUCAUGGGAGACUGCCGGGGUCAACUCGGAGGAAGGUGGGGAUGACGUCAAAUCAUCAUGCCCCUUAUGUCUUGGGCUUCACGCAUGCUACAAUGGCCGGUACAAAGGGCUGCGAUACCGCGAGGUGGAGCGAAUCCCAGAAAGCCGGUCUCAGUUCGGAUUGGGGUCUGCAACUCGACCCCAUGAAGUCGGAGUCGCUAGUAAUCGCAGAUCAGCAACGCUGCGGUGAAUACGUUCCCGGGUCUU